rnacentral:rRNA from 1 species
UACGAAGGGGGCUAGCGUUGUUCGGAAUCACUGGGCGUAAAGCGCACGUAGGCGGGUCGUUAAGUCGGGGGUGAAAUGCCAAGGCUCAACCUUGGAACUGCCUUCGAUACUGGCGAUCUCGAGUCCGGGAGAGGUGAGUGGAACUCCGAGUGUAGAGGUGAAAUUCGUAGAUAUUCGGAAGAACACCGGUGGCGAAGGCGGGUCUCUGGGCCGAUACUGACGCUGAGGAGCGAAAGCGUGGGGAGCGAACAGG